rnacentral:rRNA from 1 species
UGCGUAGGCGGUUUGGUAAGUCUUGUGUGAAAUCUCCGGGCUCAACUCGGAGCCUGCACGAGAAACUGCCGGGCUUGAGUGUGGGAGAGGUGAGUGGAAUUUCCGGUGUAGCGGUGAAAUGCGUAGAUAUCGGGAGGAACACCUGUGGCGAAAGCGGCUCACUGGACCACAACUGACGCUGAUGCACGAAAGCUAGGGGAGCAAACAGGAUUAGAUACCCUGGUAGUCCUAGCCCUAAACGAUGACUGCUUGGUGUGACGGGUACCCAAUCCCGCCGUGCCGUAGCUAACGCGUUAAGCAGUCCGCCUGGGGAGUACGGUCGCAAGGCUGAA